rnacentral:rRNA from 1 species
ACGCUCGACACCUACGGGAGGCAGCAGUGGGAAUAUUGCACAAUGGGGGAAACCCUGAUGCAGCGACGCCGCGUGAGCGAAGAAGUAUUUCGGUAUGUAAAGCUCUAUCAGCAGGGAAGAAACUGACGGUACCUGACUAAGAAGCACCGGCUAAAUACGUGCCAGCAGCCACGGUAAUCUGAGCGGGCUGGCAAGGC